AUGCUUUUCAGAAAGGUGAGUGCAUUUGUGAAGCUUCCUGCAGAGUUUCACAUGAUGAGUAGACCAACAGACCUUUCCGUCCUCAUAUUCCCCGGAUUCGUUUUCUGCGAUCGAGCGCCCGAGCGGUUGCAUCUCGACGGCAGAAGUGCCGUAGUUGAGAAGCCUGAGAAGAAUAUAUCACUUAGAUCAGAAGGUUUUGCAGUUGAAAAGCUUAUAGGUUUGAGCACCCCAAACAACGGGGUGGGCCCUUUGACCUGUGGUGGGUUCUGCUGGUACCAAGAGAAGGAGGUUCCUUUUAACCUGCAGGAGCUCUGCCAAUGGCAGCGUGCUUUCCUUGACAAUGAUGUGGUACUGCACGUACGCAACAUGCAGCGAGUGAAAUCGGCGUAA
rnacentral:rRNA from 1 species